AAAUCUGNCUNCCUUUGGGGGUCCGAGNUGUAAUUUGNANAGGGUGCUUUGGCGNCGGCAGCGGUCUANGUUCCUUGGAACAGGACAUCACAGAGGGUGAGAAUCCCGUACGUGGUCGCCUGCCUUCGCCGUGUAAAGCCCCUUCGACGAGUCNAGUUGUUUGGGAAUGCAGCUCUAAAUGGGAGGUAAAUUUCUUCUAAAGCUAANUACCGGCCAGAGACCGAUAGCGCACAAGUAGAGUGAUCGAAAGAUGAAAAGCACUUUGGAAAGAGAGUCNAACNGCACGUGAAAUUGUUGAAAGGGAAGCGCUUGCANNCAGACUUGCUCGCAGUUGCUCAUCCGGGACCGCCCGGAGCACUCUUCUGCGAGCAGGCCAGCAUCANUUUGGNCGACCGGAUAAAGGCCUCUGUCAUGUAUCUUCCUUCGGGAUGACCUUAUAGGGGAGGCGUAAUGCGNCCAGCCCGGACUGACGUCCGCGCNUCUGCUAGGAUGCUGGCGUAAUGGCUGUAAGCGGC
rnacentral:rRNA from 1 species